rnacentral:tRNA from 1 species
GGGCCACUAGCUCAUCUGGGAGAGCGCCACAAUGGCAUUGUGGAGGUGCGGGGUUCGAGUCCCCGGUGGUCCA